rnacentral:rRNA from 1 species
UGGGGAAUUUUGGACAAUGGGGGAAACCCUGAUCCAGCCAUCCCGCGUGUGCGAUGAAGGCCUUCGGGUUGUAAAGCACUUUUGGCAGGAAAGAAACGUCAUGGGUUAAUACCCCGUGAAACUGACGGUACCUGCAGAAUAAGCACCGGCUAACUACGUGCCAGCAGCCGCGGUAAUACGUAGGGUGCAAGCGUUAAUCGGAAUUACUGGGCGUAAAGCGUGCGCAGGCGGUUCGGAAAGAAAGAUGUGAAAUCCCAGAGCUCAACUUUGGAACGGCAUUUUAAACUACCGGGCUAGAGUGUGUCAUAGGGAGGUGGAAUUCCGCGUGUAGCAGUGAAAUGCGUAGAUAUGGGGAGGAACACCGAUGGCGAAGGCAGCCUCCUGGGAUAACACUGACGCUCAUGCACGAAAGCGUGGGGAGCAAACAGG